CAGUAGCCGCGGUAAUACGAAGGGUGCAAGCGUUACUCGGAAUUACUGGGCGUAAGGCGUGCGUAGGUGGUGGUUUAAGUCCGUUGUGAAAGCCCUGGGCUCAACCUGGGAAUUGCAGUGGAUACUGGGUCACUAGAGUGUGGUAGAGGAUAGUGGAAUUUCCGGUGUAGCAGUGAAAUGCGUAGAGAUCGGAAGGAACAUCUGUGGCGAAGGCGACUAUCUGGGCCAACACUGACACUGAGGCACGAAAGCGUGGGGAGCAAACAGGAUUAGAUACCCGGGUAGUCCCUGUCUCUUAUAC
rnacentral:rRNA from 1 species